rnacentral:rRNA from 1 species
GACGAACGCUGGCGGCGUGCUUAACACAUGCAAGUCGAACGGAAAGGCCCUGCUUUUGUGGGGUGCUCGAGUGGCGAACGGGUGAGUAACACGUGAGUAACCUGCCCUUGACUUUGGAAUAACUUCAGGAAACUGGGGCUAAUACCGGAUAGGAGCUCCUGCUGCAUGGUGGGGGUUGGAAAGUUUCGGCGGUUGGGGAUGGACUCGCGGCUUUUCAGCUUGUUGGUGGGGUAGUGGCUUACCAAGGCUUUGACGGGUAGCCGGCCUGAGAGGGUGACCGGCCACAUUGGGACUGAGAUACGGCCCAGACUCCUACGGGAGGCAGCAGUGGGGAAUAUUGCACAAUGGGCGGAAGCCUGAUGCAGCAACGCCGCGUGCGGGAUGACGGCCUUCGGGUUGUAAACCGCUUUCGCCUGUGACGAAGCGUGAGUGACGGUAAUGGGUAAAGAAGCACCGGCUAACUACGUG